rnacentral:rRNA from 1 species
GGAUGAACGCUAGCUACAGGCUUAACACAUGCAAGUCGAGGGGCAGCAUUGGGAUAGCUUGCUAUUCAGAUGGCGACCGGCGGCACGGGUGAGUAACGCGUAUCCAACCUCCUGCCAGUAGGGAACAGCCCGGCGAAAGUCGGAUUAAGUGCCCUAUGUUCUUCAAUGCGGACAUCUAAGUUGAAGGAAAGAUUCAUCGCUGGCAGAUGGGGAUGCGUCCGAUUAGCUUGCCGGCGGGGUAACGGCCCACCGGGGCGACGAUCGGUAGGGGUUCUGAGAGGAAGGUCCCCCACACUGGUACUGAGACACGGACCAGACUCCUACGGGAGGCAGCAGUGAGGAAUAUUGGUCAAUGGGCGUAAGCCUGAACCAGCCAAGUAGCGUGCAAGGAUGACGGCCCUACGGGUUGUAAACUGCUUUUAUGCGGGGAUAAAGUGCGGCACGUGUGCCGCUUUGCAGGUACCGCAUGAAUAAGGACCGGCUAAUUCCGUGCCAGCCGCAGC